rnacentral:rRNA from 1 species
ACGAACGCUGGCGGCGUGCUUCAUACAUGCAAGUCGAACGGGAAUCUCACUCGGUGAGAGGAAAGUGGCGGACGGGUGAGUAAUGUGUAGAGAAUCUGCCCUAGAGUGAGGGACAACAGAGGGAAACUUCUGCUAAUACCUCAUAUGCGCGUAGCUGAGAUGCUAUUCGUGAAAACUCCGGUGCUCUGGGAUGAGUCUGCAUCUGAUUAGCUAGUUGGGGGUGUAAUGGACCACCAAGGCGACGAUCAGUAGCUGGUUUGAGAGGAUGAUCAGCCACAAUGGGACUGAGACACGGCCCAUACUCCUACGGGAGGCAGCAGUAGGGAAUUUUGCGCAAUGGGGGGAAACCCUGACGCAGCAACGCCGCGUGAACGAAAAAGCCCUUCGGGGUGUAAAGUUCUGUCAGUGGGGACGAAACUUGACGGUACCCACAGAGGAAGCAUCGGCUAACUCCGUGCCAGCCGCCGC